UACGUAGGGGGCUAGCGUUGUCCGGAUUUAUUGGGCGUAAAGCGAGCGCAGGCGGUUCCUUAAGUCUGAUGUGAAAGCCCACGGCUCAACCGUGGAAGGUCAUUGGAAACUGGGGAACUUGAGUGCAGAAGAGGAGAGUGGAAUUCCAUGUGUAGCGGUGAAAUGCGUAGAUAUAUGGAGGAACACCAGUGGCGAAGGCGACUCUCUGGUCUGUAACUGACGCUGAGGCUCGAAAGCGUGGGGAGCAAACAGGAUUAGAUA
rnacentral:rRNA from 1 species